UACCAGCACCCCGAGUGGUCGGGACGUUUAUUGGGCCUAAAGCAUCCGUAGCCGGUUCUACAAGUCUUCCGUUAAAUCCAACUGCUUAACAGGUGGGCUGCGGAAGAUACUAUAGAGCUAGGAGGCGGGAGAGGCAAGCGGUACUCGAUGGGUAGGGGUAAAAUCCGUUGAUCCAUUGAAGACCACCAGUGGCGAAGGCGGCUUGCCAGAACGCGCUCGACGGUGAGGGAUGAAAGCCGGGGGAGCAAACCGG
rnacentral:rRNA from 1 species